CUCAGGUCAUCAGGCUUGGCGCUAGACGCCCUUACCCUCUGAGCCAUCCCACUGACCCGCCAGGACCGUAAGAGGCACGACUGCUACUGGCUGCUUGGGCCGCCUGCGCCCUCUAGUGAGAAUGUCCAUUACUCAGUGGAAAGAACACGUUUUCCGUGGUUACAGACUCACAAGUGACAAGUCAUGGAGAUGAAAUGCAUGAGAACAAAACACGGAAAGUGGUCACGUGGCAAACUAUCACUUACUCUUCAGUGAUGUCCCUGAGUGUUCCCACAGUCUGUAACACUACCGUGAGAAGGGCUGAAAACACCCUAACACUUCCCGGAAUGUCACAAGCAACAGAGCUGCUGCUUGGGCUGCGUUCCUAGAAAGCCAGCUGACUGACUACCUCUAAAGCCAGCGGGCUCUCCCACCCGGUGACCUCCAAACAACUCCAGGGACUGUCACUCAGUGACUUCAAAAGAGGAUCCUGUAAAGUAGCCUAGAUAGGUAUGACAUUAUGAACUCUGCCCAGGGCAUCAUGCACAAGGUCUGCAGUCAUCUCAGUUCCUGACAGCUUGUUCCUCCCUCUUGGAAUCUAUGUCAACUAGAGAUAAUGAAGGACUGGAGUAACAGUAACAGCAUCACUUGGUGUAACAUUGCUUCCUCUGUCUAACUUGGAGGAAACCACUCACUAAUGUAGUUAUAAAGCUUGCCUAAUUGUUAUUAGUGGGGAGAUUAGAAUGGAUUCAAGCUUUCCCCCAUUGUUUGGGGAUUAACAGGACUUUCUGGGAGUGUCAGAAAGCAGGUGAGAGCAUAGCAUUGGAAGGAGUUUAAUGGGCUGCAUAAUCCGGUGAGCAUAAUCAAAAUGUCUUAACCAAAACACCAACAAAUGGGAAAGCAUUCAGUAAGAGUUUGGGAUUGGCUCAAGACUGAAUCUGUCCUUUUUGCCACCACAAACUGAUUUCAGAACAGGUUUUAGUUUCACCCUUGAAUAAUGCUCACAUGAUGAGUAUAAGGAGAUCCGGCUCAGGCUUCUUACAGAGGGAAAGCUUGGCACUCCCUCCACACACCAGACAUAUUCACUGUGGAUCUUGUGGUCAUGUGCAGACUCAGAAACCCUGGCUGACAGGCUGCCGUAGGCUGCCAUAGGCUGAACAGACCCACAUCAGACAUGGGAUGAUCAUUUCUACUCAUCUACAGAAAGGUUCUGAGUAAGCCUGGAGAAUUCUACACAACUUUCCAAAUUAAAAAAGUGUUUUCCAUAAAAUUACUAGUCAUUCGGACAGGCGGCCUAGCUCAUAGGAUUUCCUGGCUGCCACAGAACACUAAGACAAAGGCCACCAAUAGGAAGUCCACCAAUAUGCCACAGAAUGCUAAGACAAAGGCCACCAAUAGGAAUGUCCACGAAUAUGCCAACAUUAUGGUGGCAAGGAAGACUGCAUUGCAUGUCCCACUGUGAAGCCUGAGUCAUGGGCCCCGGAAGUCAUUGCUACACACCUGACACGGGCGCUCUGCUAGGCGCUCUGCUCUGUGAAGGCUUCUGUCUAGUGUGCACAACCCCCUUCACUGAUGUCUUAGGGGCUCUAAUUGAAUAUAAAAAGGUUAAUGAGUCACGUGCAUGAAGGUCUGAACUUCAGAGAAAACAAGCACACAGCAUCAACCACUCAAGGCGUAAGUGAGUUUGAGAAGAACUGAAGGCCCCGCGUGCAGCAAUCAGACGAGCUGCACUUGAGUUUCUGCAGGAGCCAAGCCAACUCUUCACACCUGCUUGGAGAAUCGCCGGAUGAGGCUAAACUUACUUGAUGAGUAAGCGUAUACUAAAACAGAUAAUGAGUAAAAUGGUAUGAAAUGAGAAAGGAAAGCAUGCCAACAUCAGAUGAAAACCAAGAGCUGUUACACAGCCGUGCAGCAAGAGGGCGGUCUGCACACAAAAUCAGAUCUCGAUGCUACGCACUACAGCACAUACAGUAGGAGAGCUGGUUCCGAAGAGAACACAGAAUUAUUUUUCCGUCUCAAGAACUGAUCUGGGCUUGAGCAUUUUCCAAUCCCCAUGUGUGGCAUUCUUACCCUUGUCUACUAAGGAGCCUAUGAACAGGUGCAUUCUGUCCUUGGUUUGGCUGAAGGACUCUGUUGACAAAUUAAAUGCAAAAUUAAUUCCAAAAGACAAA